rnacentral:rRNA from 1 species
GUAGAGAGGUGCUUGCACCUCUUGAGAGCGGCGGACGGGUGAGUAAUACCUAGGAAUCUGCCUGGUAGUGGGGGAUAACGUUCGGAAACGGACGCUAAUACCGCAUACGUCCUACGGGAGAAAGCAGGGGACCUUCGGGCCUUGCGCUAUCAGAUGAGCCUAGGUCGGAUUAGCUAGUUGGUGAGGUAAUGGCUCACCAAGGCUACGAUCCGUAACUGGUCUGAGAGGAUGAUCAGUCACACUGGAACUGAGACACGGUCCAGACUCCUACGGGAGGCAGCAGUGGGGAAUAUUGGACAAUGGGCGAAAGCCUGAUCCAGCCAUGCCGCGUGUGUGAAGAAGGUCUUCGGAUUGUAAAGCACUUUAAGUUGGGAGGAAGGGCAUUAACCUAAUACGUUAGUGCUUUGACGUUACCGACAGAAUAAGCACCGGCUAACUCUGUGCCAGCAGCCGCGGUAAUACAGAGGGUGCAAGCGUUAAUCGGAAUUACUGGGCGUAAAGCGCGCGUAGGUGGUUUGUUAAGUUGAAUGUGAAAUCCCCGGGCUCAACCUGGGAACUGCAUCCAAAACUGGCAAGCUAGAGUAUGGUAGAGGGUAGUGGAAUUUCCUGUGUAGCGGUGAAAUGCGUAGAUAUAGGAAGGAACACCAGUGGCGAAGGCGACUACCUGGACUGAUACUGACACUGAGGUGCGAAAGCGUGGGGAGCAAACAGGAUUAGAUACCCUGGUAGUCCACGCCGUAAACGAUGUCAACUAGCCGUUGGGAACCUUGAGUUCUUACUGGCGCAGCUAACGCAUUAAG